UACGUAGGGUGCGAGCGUUGUCCGGAAUUAUUGGGCGUAAAGAGCUCGUAGGUGGUUUGUCGCGUUGUCCGUGAAAACUCACAACUCAAUUGUGGGCGUGCGGGCGAUACGGGCAGACUGGAGUACUGCAGGGGAGACUGGAAUUCCCGGUGUAGCGGUGAAAUGCGCAGAUAUCGGGAAGAACACCCGUGGCGAAGGCGGUUCUCUGGGACGGUACUGACGCUGAGACGCGAAAGCGUGGGGAGCGAACAGG
rnacentral:rRNA from 1 species